rnacentral:rRNA from 1 species
CCUACGGGUGGCUGCAGUGAGGAAUAUUGGUCAAUGGGCGGGCGCCUGAACCAGCCAAGUCGCGUGAGGGAAGACGGUCCUAUGGAUUGUAAACCUCUUUAGGCGGGGAGCAAUGCCGGGCACGCGUGCCCGGAGGGAGAGUACCCGCAGAAUAAGCAUCGGCUAACUCCGUGCCAGCAGCCGCGGUAAUACGGAGGAUGCGAGCGUUAUCCGGAUUUAUUGGGUUUAAAGGGUGCGUAGGCGGAUUUUUAAGUCAGCGGUAAAAUCUCCGGGCUCAACCCGGGCCGGCCGUUGAAACUGGGGUUCUUGAGUGGGCGAGAAGUAUGCGGAAUGCGUGGUGUAGCGGUGAAAUGCAUAGAUAUCACGCAGAACUCCGAUUGCGAAGGCAGCAUACCGGCGCCCGACUGACGCUGAGGCACGAAAGCGUGGGUAUCGAACAGGAUUAGAUACCCCUGUAGUC